rnacentral:lncRNA from 1 species
UACCUACAAACCGGUAGUUGUAAGUCCUAUCUUUGUGGUUUUCUACCUACAAGCUGGUAGUUGUAAAAUCCCACUUUCACCCCCUAGCAGAGGUAACCUUUGUGGUUCAUGCUGUUUGUUGGCUUCUACCUACAAACCGGUAGUUGUAAGUCCUAUCUUUGUGGUUUUCUACCUACUAGCUGGUAGUUGUAAAAUCCCACUUUCAUCCCCU